rnacentral:rRNA from 1 species
UACAGAGGUCCCAAGCGUUGUUCGGAUUCAUUGGGCGUAAAGGGUUCGUAGGCGGUGCGGCAAGUUGGGAGUGAAAUCUCUGGGCUUAACCCAGAGGCUGCUUUCAAAACUGCUGUGCUUGAGUGUGAGAGAGGCUCGUGGGAAUUGCAGGUGUAGCGGUGAAAUGCGUAGAUAUCUGCAGGAACACCCGUGGCGAAAGCGGCGAGCUGGAUCACUACUGACGCUGAGGAACGAAAGCUAGGGGAGCAAACAGG